UACAGAGGGGGCAAGCGUUGUUCGGAAUUACUGGGCGUAAAGGGCGCGUAGGCGGCCCGCUAAGUCGAACGUGAAAUCCCCGGGCUCAACCCGGGAACUGCGUCCGAUACUGGUGGGCUCGAAUCCGGGAGAGUGAUGCGGAAUUCCAGGUGUAGCGGUGAAAUGCGUAGAUAUCUGGAGGAACACCGGUGGCGAAGGCGGCAUCCUGGACCGGUAUUGACGCUGAGGCGCGAAAGCCAGGGGAGCAAACGGG
rnacentral:rRNA from 1 species